rnacentral:rRNA from 1 species
UAUCUCUGUAGAGUCUGCAUAUCAAUAAGCGGAGGAAAAGAAACUAACAAGGAUUCCCUUAGUAACGGCGAGUGAGGCGGGAAGAGCUCAAAUUUGAAAUCUUCAAGGUUCUACCUUGACGAAUUGUAGUUUAAAGAAGUGUUUUCUGUUAGAUGAGUAGCAAAAGUUCCUUGGAAUGGGACAUCAUAGAGGGUGAGAAUCCCGUAUUUGGUUAUUCAUUCUAGCUUUGUGAUACACUUUCAAAGAGUCGGAUUGUUUGGGAAUGCAGUCCAAAAUGGGUGGUAAAUUUCAUCUAAAGCUAAAUAUUGGCGAGAGACCGAUAGCGAACAAGUACCGUGAGGGAAAGAUGAAAAGAACUUUGAAAAGAGAGUUAAACAGUACGUGAAAUUGUCAAAAGGGAAGCGUUUGACACCAGUGUUGUUUUUCCGAAAAUCAAUUACGAAUGGCUUGAUUUUGUGUUGUAUUGACCUUAUCAGCUUUCUUCACUUUUUUCGAGUCUUUCUUAAUGCACUUUUCGGUUAACAAGUCAACAUCAAUUUCUUUUGUUGUAAAAGAGUAUUCGGAAGGUGGCUUUCUUUUCGGAGAAAGUGUUUAUAGCCCUAUACUUCUACAAUCGGAGAGAUUGAGGUCUGCAGCGUAGAUCCUUCGGGGUUAGAUACACUUGUGCUAAGUUGUAGCUUUUCAUAGACAACUUGUUGACUAUGUUUAGUCAUGCGGCUUACUCGCUUGUGCUAUUUUACCUACGCUUAGGAUGUUGACUGAUAUGUAGUCGU